CAGAGGGUGCAAGCGUUGUUCGGAAUUAUUGGGCGUAAAGCGCGUGUAGGCGGCUUUGCAAGUCGGGUGUGAAAGCCCUCAGCUCAACUGAGGAAGUGCGCCCGAAACUGCAGAGCUUGAGUACCGGAGAGGAUGGCGGAAUUCCCCAAGUAGAGGUGAAAUUCGUAGAUAUGGGGAGGAACACCGGUGGCGAAGGCGGCCAUCUGGACGGAUACUGACGCUGAGACGCGAAAGCGUGGGUAGCAAACAGGAUUAGAUACCCUGGUAGUCCACGCCGUAAACGAUGAGAACUAGGUGUCGUGGGUGUUGACCCCUGCGGUGCCGUAGCUAACGCAUUAAGUUCUCCGCCUGGGAAGUACGGCCGCAAGGCUAA
rnacentral:rRNA from 1 species